CAAUAGCGUAUAUUAAAGUUGUUGCAGUUUAAAAGCUCGUAGUUGAAUUUCUAUCAGGAGUGACCGGGCCUUUGGAUGAACUUCCAUUGCUUUUUGCUCUGUUUGUCAUCUCUAGACAUCCUGAAAUAUUUUUUAAAAAUAUUUCUCUUUUACUGUUAGCAAAAUAGAGUGUUCCAAGCAAAGCGUAGUUUUGAAUACAUUAGAAUGGAAUAAUAAGAUAGGACUUUGGUGCUAUUUUGUUGGUUUGCACACCAAGGUAAUGAUUAAUAGGGACAGUUGGGGGUAUUCGUAUUUAAUUGUCAGAGGUGAAAUUCUUGGAUUUAUGAAAGACGACCUACUGCGAAAGCAUUUACCAAGGAUGUUUUCAUUAA
rnacentral:rRNA from 1 species